rnacentral:rRNA from 1 species
CGUGUAGGCGGCCAGGUAAGUCAGAUGUGAAAGUCCCGGGCUCAACUCGGGAAGUGCAUUUGAAACUGCUUGGCUUGAGUAAGAGAGAGGAAAGUGGAAUUCCUGGUGUAGAGGUGAAAUUCGUAGAUAUCAGGAGGAACACCGGUGGCGAAGGCGGCUUUCUGGCUCUAUACUGACGCUGAGACGCGAAAGCGUGGGUAGCAAACAGGAUUAGAUACCCUGGUAGUCC